AAGCUGCAAUCAUGCAUCGAGAAACAACGUCCAUCUUGCAGAGGUGUAUAAAAUCUUUGCAAAGGUGUUUGAUAUUGUUUGUUUAUUAGCUAUUUGCAUUUUUGUGCAUUUAAAAGUUAUUAUUUGUUGCGAAUUGUGCUGUCGUGUUUACUUACCCAAUAUGAGUAAACGAGUAAAGGCCUGCUGUGUACCAGGAUGCACGAAUAAGCAAGCGAUAAGACAUUCCAUUCCUAUGAAUGAAGACGUUUGCAGAAUUUAGUUGCAAAGAAUAAAUAACCCCAAGUUAAUGCUUGCAGAUACAGUAUUAUCAUCACAUAGAAUAUGUGAUAUUCAUUUUGAACCAAUUUAUAGAAACCCCAAUGGCAGGUUAAAAAAAGUUUCACUGCCAACUCUACAUUUACCUGGUAUUAUUAAUAAAAUUUUGAAGGGCAAAGAUCAACAAUAUAAAGACUACGAUGUUGUGAUGAAUAUGGCAUAUGUUAAAUAUAAGGAAAGCUGCAAAAAAGACAAGUAAGCAUUAAUUUUCCAUGGUUAUAAAAUCAGUUUUUUAUAUACCAUUGUAUAAAAUGUCAAAAACAAAAUAAAAAUUAUAAUUAA